UUACCGCGGCUGCUGGCACGAAGUUAGCCGGAGCUUCUUCUCCGGGUACCGUCAUUAUCGUCCCCGGUGAAAGAAUUUUACAAUCCUAAGACCUUCAUCAUUCACGCGGCAUGGCUGCGUCAGGCUUUCGCCCAUUGCGCAAGAUUCCCCACUGCUGCCUCCCGUAGGAGUCUGGGCCGUGUCUCAGUCCCAGUGUGGCUGAUCAUCCUCUCAGACCAGCUACUGAUCGUCGCCUUGGUGAGCCUUUACCUCACCAACUAGCUAAUCAGACGCGGGCCGCUCCAAUGGCGAUAAAUCUUUCCCCCGAAGGGCACAUUCGGUAUUAGCUCAAGUUUCCCUGAGUUGUUCCGAACCAAAGGGCACGUUCCCACGUGUUACUCACCCGUCCGCCACUAUCCCGAAGGAUCGUUCGACUUGCAUGUGUUAGGCCUGCCGCCAGCGUUCGCUCUGAGCCAGGAUCAAACUC
rnacentral:rRNA from 1 species